AGACCCGACAAUAGGAAAAGGCUCAUAGUUUGGAAGAAGAGGAUAUCACAGCAACCACAAAAAAAACACAUGGCAUCUUCGAAACAAAUUGAUGAUCGCACUCCAUUCAGAGACAUAUCCAACACCACCAGCACAAAUGAUCUAAACAAUAUAGAUCCUAGAGAACGUAAGAGGCAAAUGGCAAGGGACCGGUAUGCGCAAAUGUCUGUCGAAGAAAAAGAUGAACUACUAAAAAAGCGUCGUGAAGCGUAUCACAGGAAGAAAGCUGAAGCCGCCCGUGUCAAUGUUGGACUACAAUGCGCACCCAACAAGGAAAACAUGGGCCCAGCUGAAAGUUCUGAUUGGUUGCACAGAAGUGAUACGUACGAGAGGCAAAAAAUCCAUGUGCCAAAUCAGGGACAAGAGAGCGUCAUGACCAG